AUGCCACUUCUCUAUUUCGUCAACGGUCAGAAAGGACUGAAUCAACAGCUGCAGCCAAAGCACAAACUUCCUCAUUCAGCUUUCAUGAAUUACAACGUUAGAAGACUCGCAAUUUAUGAUUCUAAGCACUAUUUGGACACGAGGGACAGCAGCAUCCAACUAGAACUCAAAAGCCUGGUCUUACUUAUGAUGAAGAGAGUUGCGUUUGCUCAAAUGGUAGAUGCUGUGGGAAGGAGAAGAUGGCAAGCAAUUGAAGGAAACCACUAUACGUACCAUGCAACUGGCAGUCUGCCUCCCUCAGGUGUGGCAGAGGACAUUUUCCCAUCACCAUCUCAUCACAAGUACUGAAGGGAGAUUUCAACCACUUGUCCCCUUGGCUUCCAUAUGGAAAUAUACAAAGAACCCAUAUCGUCUUUCUGCUCAAGCAGUGGAAUGUUUUAGACUGCAGUCCUCAUUCCCUGCCUUCCAGUGGUGCCCAAAAUCUGUUCCUUGUGAUUGCUUCCUUACUCUGUUUUGUGUAAAGUAUCAUUUUGUCCGCACGUGCAUGUAAGAGACAGAAAGAGAGGACAAACGAAAGAACAAAUGAAUGAAUGAGUAGAUUUGAUCUGGCUUCAUUUCUUGCUUGGCUUUGAACAGAGUAAGUGAACAGUUUAAACAGAAACAUGCCUGUCAAACCUAUGAGAGAUGCAUAUAAUUUAUAGUUGCAUGGGAAAUAUUUGCUUUUUGAAUUCUGCCUCUACAGUAAUGCUCAGCACACGUUCUCUCUCUCUAGCUCUGAUUCUGCAAUGUGUAAGACAUUGAUUUUAUUUGUAUAUAAUGACUGGGUGGUUUCCACUCUCCUGCCCUGAUAUGCUAAGCAAGAAUCCACAGGGUAAAGUUUUGCU
rnacentral:lncRNA from 1 species